GAUGAACGCUGGCGGCGUGCCUAAUACAUGCAAGUCGAGCGAACAGAUGAGGAGCUUGCUCCUCUGACGUUAGCGGCGGACGGGUGAGUAACACGUGGAUAACCUACCUAUAAGACUGGGAUAACUUCGGGAAACCGGAGCUAAUACCGGAUAAUAUAUUGAACCGCAUGGUUCAAUAGUGAAAGACGGUUUUGCUGUCACUUAUAGAUGGAUCCGCGCCGCAUUAGCUAGUUGGUAAGGUAACGGCUUACCAAGGCAACGAUGCGUAGCCGACCUGAGAGGGGGAUCGGCCACACUGGAACUGAAACACGGUCCAGACUCCUACGGGAGGCAGCAGUAGGGAAUCUUCCGCAAGGGGCGAAAGCCUGACGGAGCAACGCCGCGUGAGUGAUGAAGGUCUUCGGAUCGUAAAACUCUGUUAUUAGGGAAGAAAAAAUGUGUAAGUAACUAUGCACGUUUUGACGGUACCUAAUCAGAAAGCCACGGCUAACUACGU
rnacentral:rRNA from 1 species